GCCGGGGUGGUGGAGUUGGUAGACACGCCAGACUUAGGAUCUGGUGCUCGUGAGGGCGUGCAGGUUCGAGACCUGUCCCCGGCA
rnacentral:tRNA from 1 species